GACGAACGCUGGCGGCGUGCUUAACACAUGCAAGUCGAACGGAAAGGCCCUGCUUUUGUGGGGUGCUCGAGUGGCGAACGGGUGAGUAAAACGUGAGUAACCUGCACUUGACUUUGGGAUAACUUCAGGAAACAGGGGCUAUUACCGGAUAGGAGCUCCUGCUGCAUGGUGGGGGUUGGAAAGUUUCGGCGGUUGGGGAUGGACUCGCGGCUUAUCAGCUUGAUAGUGGGGUAGUGGCUUACGAAGGCUUCGACGGGUAGCCGGCCUGAGAGGGGGACCGGGCACAUGAGGACUAAGGUACGGCGCAGUCUCGUACGGGAGGCAACAGUGGGAAGUCUGGCACAGUGAGCCGGAGUGAGAUGCAGCAACGCUGCGUGCGGAAAGACGGCCUUCGGGGUAAGAACCGCUGUCGCCUGAGACGAAGCGUGAGUGACGGUAAUUAAUAAAGAAGCACCGGCUAACUACGUG
rnacentral:rRNA from 1 species